GGGGAUUUAGCUCAGCAGCAGAGUGCCUGCCUGGCAAGCAUGAGGUUGUGAGUUCAAUCCCUA
rnacentral:tRNA from 1 species